rfam:Myotis davidii contig204453, whole genome shotgun sequence.
GAGACACCCUUAUGGGGCAGGACUUGCUUCAGUGGGGCUUUGGUGCUCACUGAGUCUGCCUCUUCAGUGUGUUGCU